rnacentral:rRNA from 1 species
UUUUUUAAUUGAAAACUUGUAUGAAUGGUUGAAUGAAAUAUAAGCUGUUUCAUAAAAAUUUAAUUAAAAUUUUAUUUUUUAGUUAAAAAGCUAAAAUAAUAUUAUAAGACGAGAAGACCCUAUAAAGUUUUAUAAAUUAAUUUUAAUAAUUUAUAUAAUUAUUUUAAGAUUUUUUUGGUUAAUUUAUUUUAUUGGGGUGAUAAUAAAAUUUAAAAAACUUUUAUUUUUUAAAACAUAAAUUAAUGAAUUGAUGAUCCAUUAUUAAUGAUUAAAAAUUUAAAUUACUUUAGGGAUAACAGCGUUAUUUUUUUUUUUAAUUCCAAUUUAUAAAAAAGUUUGC